rnacentral:rRNA from 1 species
GACGAACGCUGGCGGCGUGCUUAACACAUGCAAGUCGAACGGGUCUGCCCUGUUUUUUGCGGGGUGGGUCAGUGGCGAACGGGUUAGUAACACGUGAGUAACCUGCCCCUCACUUCUGGAUAACCGCUUGAAAGGGUGGCUAAUACGGGGUGUUCUGGCUGUGCCGCAUGGUGUGGCUGGGAAAGAUUCACUUUUGUGGUGUUUUGGUGGGGGAUGGGCUCGCGGCCUAUCAGCUUGUUGGUGGGGUGAUGGCCUGCCAAGGCUUUGACGGGUAGCCGGCCUGGGAGGGUGGGCGGUCACACUGGGACUGAGAUACGGCCCAGACUCCGGCGGGAGGCAGCAGUGGGGGGUAUUGCACAAUGGGCGGAAGCCUGAUGCAGCGACGUCGCGUGAGGGAUGGAGGCCUUCGGGUUGUGAACCUCUUUCGCCGGUGAAGAAGGUCCUGCUCUUUGUGGUGGGGUUGACGGUAGCCGGGUUAUGAAGCGCCGGCUAACUACGUG